AAUUUGGAUAUUAUAAAGGAUUACCAGAUAUAACACAAAAUUUCUCCACCUAUUCCUUCAAGUCGAGCCUCUCGAUCUGUCAUUAUACCUCGAGAAGUAGAAAGAAUUACAAUCCCUAUUCCACCUAAAAUUCGCGGAAUUCGUUGAUAAUUAGAAUAGAUUCGUAGACCAGGUCGACUGAUUCGUUUUAAAUUGAAAAUAUUUCUNCAUAAAAUUUCUUCACCUAUUCCUUCAAGUCGAGCCUCUCGAUCUGUCAUUAUACCUUGAGAAGUAGAAAGAAUUAUAAUUCUUAUUCCACCUAAAAUUCGCGAAAUUCGUUGAUAAUUAGAAUAGAUUCGUAGACCAGGUCGACUGAUUCGUUUUAAAUUGAAAAUAUUUCUAUAGGGUCUUUUCCUAUUCCUUCUAUGUCGCAGGGUUAAAACCAAAAAAUAUUUGUUGUUUUCUCGAUGUUUUCUCACGUUUUCGAUAAAACCCUCUCGUAAAAGUAGUUGCAUAAUAUUUUUGAUAAUAUUAGUAGAUACUAUUCGAACCACCCUUUUUCGAUCCAUAUCAGCAUUUCGUAUAGAAGUUAUUAUCUCAGCAAUAGUGUCCCUGCCCAUGAUGAACUAAAAUUAUUGGGGUCUCCAAAUUUGAUAUAAUCAACGUGUUUUUUACUUAUUUAUUUUGGAAUAUGAUAUGAAUUAUUAAAGAUAUAUGCGUGAGACACAAUCUACUAUUUAAUCUAUUUCUUUCAAAUACCCUACUUGAAACAGAUCACAAUUUCAUUUUAUAAUACCUCGGGAGCUAAUGAAACUAUUUUAGUAAAAUUUAAGUCUCUCAAUUCCCGAGCGAUUGCACCAAAAAUUCGAGUUCCUUUUGGAUUUCCUUCUUGAUCAAUAACAACUGCAGCAUUGUCAUCAUAUUGUAUUAUCAUCCCAUUGUCACAUUUGAGUUCUUUACAGGUACGCACAAUUACAGCUCUGACUACUUCUGAUCUUUGUAGGGGCAUAUUUGGUACUGCUUCUUUGAUCACAACAACAAUAACGUCACCAAUAUGAGCAUAUCGACGAUUGCUAGCUCCUAUGAUUCGAAUACACAUCAAUUCUCGAGCCCCGCUAUUAUCCGCUAUAUUUAAAUAGGUCUGAGGUUGAAUCAUUUUUUUAAUCCGUUCUUUGAAUGCAAAGGGCGA
rnacentral:lncRNA from 1 species